rnacentral:rRNA from 1 species
GAUGAACGCUGGCGGCGUGCCUAAUACAUGCAAGUCGAGCGAACAGACGAGGCGCUUGCUCCUCUGACGUUAGCGGCGGACGGGUGUGUAACACGUGGAUAACCUCCCUAUAAGACUGGGAUAACUUCGGGAAACCGGCGCUAAUACCGGAUAAUAUAUUGCACCGCAUGGUUCAAUAGUGAAAGACGGUUUUGCUGUCGGUUGGGGAUGGAUCCGCGCCUCAUUAGCUAGUUGGUAGGGUCGGGGCUUACCAAGGCAACGAUGCGUAGCCGGCCUGAGAGGGUGAGCGGCAACAGUGGGACUGAGAGACGGACCAGACUCCUACGGGAGGCAGCAGUGGGGAAUAUUGAAAAAUGGGCGGAAGCCUGAUGCAGAAACGCCGAGUGCGGGAUGACGGCCGUCGGGUUGUAAACCGCGUUCGCAUGUGACGAAGCGUGAGUGACGGUAAUGGGUAAAGAAGCAACGGCUAACUACGUG